AAAUACAAAGAUAGUGUUUAAUACAAGCGACAAUUAAUUUUCACCAUUUCCAGGCUGUGCCAGUGGCAGCUGACCAGCUACAGGUUUUUAGGACUCAAAUAUACCAAUCAUCUUAUUAGUAACAGUAAAAUGCCAAAUAUUUUCAAGCAUUCCUCCAUUAUAUUCUUUAGCUUACGAGUCUGUACUUCUCUGCAGAUCACAUCUUUUUGGGGCGCUUUAGCAGAAAAUAACUGGCAUUUUCCUUUGGCAGGCUGCAGCAGAUAUUAUUUUAGCACAUGAAAUACAUUCAGAGACGUUUUACAAACGUGCUAAGUCCAAUGAAGUGCCUAAAUGUGGAUGUGUAUUGAUAAACUUUUUCCCAGAUUUAGCUACUGGAUUGCAUUCUACAUCUGAAAACUGCUUUGAGGUGGUCUUAAUUUAGCUUAGUAUAGAUCCAUUUUAACACCAACCUUUAUUUCAAAACAAUGUACUUGCAGGCAAGCUGUCAGACUAUUCCAAUGUUUGAGUAAGAAAAAGCAGGAAAAGUAAAUCUCUGAAUUUUUUAUCAUUUUGCUGAAGUUGUCUUGUAUUUUUAUUUUGUAAAUGUUGUGUGUGCCCUGGCUUUUCUUUUGACAGUACUUCAAGCUGAAAAACAAAGAUGGAUUUUUUUUUUCCCCAGUGAAUUUAUUAUGAAGAAUGAAGGUCAGAUUCCUCUUACGGCUGCUUUGUGCUGUUGAAAAAUACAGUGUGGCUUCUGCUUCAAGAGCACCUAAUUUUGAAAUCCAUCUUGCUUGAAAGCAAUUGCUAUUAGAGGUGACCCACAAGAGAGACGAGCCUUCCCUUUUGCCACUCUGUGAUGGAAUAAAAGACUUGAGUGAUAAAUUAGCUUAGUCUACCUGUUUGCCACAUCAGAAGCUCAAGCCUUCCCUGCAGCAGGAGUGCUGGAGAUCAAGCUAGGCAGCAAGAGGCAGAGCAGCACAGAGCAAGGAGGACAGACAGGCAAAUGUGGUUUUUUUUUUUUAACUACACCUUUUAAAAUUUUGCGUCUAUUGUUAAAAAGUGUUUUACUUAAAUGGCGGUCAUUUGGCACGGAGGAAGUUUAUCCACGUGCUUCCAGCAGCCUUUCACCUAUUAAGGCAGCAAAAGCUCAAUUCAUGUAUUUCUGACCUCCCAAAAGUUCCUCAGUAAAAACAGGAAGGACCAAGCACUACAGCUUGAAUGCCUGGAAAGGACCCAUCUCCCUGCACAUCUUAGAGCAGCAAGAGGUCACCAUGUAAAUGCUUUUUCCAAGAAGCCAUUCAAAAAAUCAGGCUUACAGAGGGAAAACCGAGGACGUGUGCUGCUGUGUUUGGCAGGGGCAUUUGUAACCAAGGAUAAAAACAGUUUUGAAGAAAUGUCUGGGAUGACAUCCCUGACCUCCUGCUCCUUCCCAAAGUGAAAUGUAAGAAAACAAUGAAAAUAAUAUCUUUAUGGGAAAAAGUCUCCCUUGCCAAAAUGCUGGGGUUGACCACACUCUUCCUCAUCCCAUCCCACGGGAAAAUGCGCAUCCCCGGAACACUGUGCAGCAGCACUACAGAUGGCAACUGGGGGGGGUCAGUCCCAGCAGCCCUCUCCUUGCUGCCAGCUCACUCCUGGUGUUGGGGAGAUACUGGGUGUGAAAACUCCUGGGCAGAACACCAGGUCAUGCCAGGGCUGGGUGCCUCAUGCCUGGCUUUGAAACGCAGAGCAGAGGGAGCAUGGGGCGGUGGGCUGCAAGGAGGGAUAGCAGGAACCAGCCCCCUGAAAACUCAAUCAGGCAGUUGAAAGUAAAAUCAGGGUGCUCUUUAAAACAACUCUCAAAUUUGUGUGGUGGUGAUUCCUAGAAGAGAGAACUUUCAUGCAAGACGUGCGCUGGUAAAUGAUUGAGUAACAGUGACUCAUGUUUUAUUAUCAGACUUGACUAUAGUGGCGCUUAUGCUCACUUCAGAUUUGUUGACACACAUUUCUCCUGACGCCUGCCAAUGAGGAAGAUGCUGUGAAGCAGCACUGUAAUGUAAAACUGGUACAGGAAAAUGCAUGUGAGGGCUGAUCACAGCCUGAGCCCCUUGGCACCAGGGCAGCUUUUGGGAAGAGAGGGAUUGGUUUUGCAAUACCAGCCACCGAUGGAAAGUGCUGGUGGGUUUCUGCUCCAGGGCGCUAAGAAGCUCAGCACCCACAUGGGUUGUUGGGUCAUUUCGCAGGACCUUAGAACCUGCCUGAGACUGAUGUCUGGUCCCAGAGUCACAACCUGGAAUGUUUAAGUGGCUCCCAAUGGGAGGCUGACGGUGAACUAAACCCCUCCUUGCACCAGUCCUGCCAUAUCUGAAUCUCCCUCCAACACUGUUUCCUUUGAGGUGGAAGAAGGAAGUGAUCUGUUUUUGGGGAGCAUUCGCACCAGAUGUUUGGUGGUGGCAACACUGUCUAUCACUGCAUGCUCUGCUUCCGCACAGGAGCCCCCAGGCUCUGCCCCUCCCUGCCUCUGCCGCCGGUGACCCUGUCCCUUCCUCCUGCCCUGUGUGACCUCCACUGCUGGCAGCCCUGCUCCAGGAGGAAGGAGUGAAUUCACCUCCCCAGCUGCUGGGAGCUGGAUCUGCGGCCUCCAGGUAGGACAGGAGCAUUUUCCUGCUGCUCCACCACCCCCCGGCAAUCGAUGCCAGUCCUGUGGGGCCAGGGGUGCUCAGGGACACCCCCAAUACCAGGAGCAGCACUUGUCUUCCACAGACCCAUGGCACAGAGGGAUAAACUGUAAUGCUGCUGUCACAGGGUGCAACAUUCUCAGGAUGUGCUGCUGCCUGGGAUCAAUGUUCCUGGUCUGCUGGCCUCAACACUCAUCUUUGAGUCCCCUGUUCCUUCUGACGUCGGUUUUUCUUUCCAUCUGAAUCAUUCAGCAUGACUUUGGAGCACAAUGGAGCUGUGAUUUUUUUCGAAGCCGCCAGCCUCCAGGAAACAGAAGGUCUCUGAAUAAAAGGGAGGCUCUUGUUACAACUUCCCUCUUAUUUACUGUUCCCAGUAGCAGAGAAGUAAAAAGACAAUGAAUGAAAUGGAGGAUUAAUCACGCGUAGCACUGAAAUAUAAACAAGGAGACAGUGCGUUCCAGAGCAGUGGCUUGUGCCCACAGUGUGCAGAAAUCUCUCAUCACUGAGACCUCCUGGAUUUCAUGAAAAAGGCCAAAAGGCAGAGGAGGCUCCACAGGUGGUUUUUCAAAGGUAAACUUGCAAACUGGAUAUUUUCCAUGGACUUUUCUCUGUUCAGUGCUCUCAAAACUUGAGUUCAAGUUGAUAACCCCUGUGCUUAAUCACUAGUUCAUGACUUUUGCAGAGGCAACUCCCUAUUUUCCUAUUUUCCUAUUUUUCUGCAUUUAUUUUAAACCAAUUAAAGUUCAGGAUCACUCCUUUGUCCUACAGAAGACUUUUAAAAAUGCUUCAGAGAGAACCGACUGUGCUGCACAGUGUGUAGCUCUGCUCCUAGAAGGGGUGUGUGGUCAUUAGCCUUGCUCUGUUUUCCACUUGCUUGGGUUGGUAUCCAAACACCAAAGGAUUAUUAAUCAUGUUCCUUAUUUAUUUUUUAAAUCAGAGAUUUACCUGUAUUUGAUUUCCAGCUAUAGAUUUUGAGCAUUCACACCGGCCUUUGCAAAGGUGUUGAGCUCAAGUUAAUUGGUUAUAAAUUAACCUUGGGAGGUUGUUUGUAUGAAGCAGAUUAUGUGCAUGCAGCUUUGUGAAGGUUGUUAGUGAAGCAAACUGUAGGAAAGAAAGGUGGAAACAGGGAUGCAUGACACAAUUCAAAUUGCCUGAAAUGCCUGUAACAAACAGUUGGUUUGUGCAUCUGUCAGGUAAAUACUGUUGAAUUUUUGGCACUGGGACUAUGCAUUUAAUGUCAGGGUUGAGGCGAAGUGGAGUGCAUAAUUAUAAAACCGAUAGGGAAGCUGUCCCCAUCCUUAUUCAAAAGCUCCAACAAACCUCUUAACUGUUCAUUUUACAGUUCUCUUUAGAAAACAUGCAAGAAAAACCUCAGGAAAGUUUAUUUGGGCCACCUGCAAUAAUAAAAUUGAAGUGACCCAAGCCUGAAAAUAACACCAUGCGUCUCCAAGUGAGUAUAAAAAGCCGGAGCAUGGGAUAUAUUUAAGCUAAAAACCAAAACAACCCAUGCUGUUUAACUAAUCCUUGCUGUAACCUUCUGCCCAGACUUUGCCUGGGACUGGGAGCCUGGGGCAGGCACUGGGAAGGCAGGAGCCCUGCCAAAGGCUCCUCCUGGCCUUGUCUCCCUGCCCUCUCGGGGGCUUUCCAGGUUGCACUUUGUUUCACUUUCUCUUUCUGCUGUGCAGGGCUGUGCUGGAAGGGUUGCAACAUCUUCUAUCAAUUAUUUACACUAUUUGCAUGGAAAUCAUAACAAAAAAUAUUUUUUUAUAUAUUUGGAUUAAUCUUUUUAAAUACUACAAAAGCUGUGCUGGUGUUGCAUUAAACUAGCUAGUGAUACUCUUUUAAAUGCCCUUUCUAAAUACUUUUUAGAGGGGAAUUGCAUUAACCUCUCAGCUGCAGCUUCCCUGUUUACACACAGCAAAAGGCACUGCCAGCCUGAGCCUACCAGGUCAGGAGCAGAAGGGUGACCCCUGCAGCUCCCACCACCGUGAUCCCUUGGCACCUGCAGCCUCCAGCUGACUUGGUUUGCCAGUGGUUCCCUGGUGGGGAAGAGGAGGUGGGAAGAGCUGCCUGGAGUCUUUGGUCAUGGUGUGAGUGCUUCCCAGACAGUUGCUUGCUUCUUUGGUACCUAUUUUAGGGUAAUUAAUAAUAGAGAGCUCCUGUGCAACCCAAAUUUAGACACUCUUUGGAAAUCCAGAAAAAAAUAUUCUGGGAAGAGUUUGUGUUUUUUUUUCCUUCUACCCACUACAGCAGAUGUUUGAGGAUCUCAAGUCAGGAUGGGGGUUUGCCACUGUGUGCUGCUUGGUCCCCACUCCAGUUGCAACCUCCAAGUUUGGCAGCUCUACCACUUCGCUGGGAAGCCUGUCCCAAUGCUUGACAAAAUGCUAAUAAGUGUUUUGCUGCUUUUUUUUCUCUUUCCCCAUAACUUUCAAGUUUCAGCAGACUACUAGCAGAAAUUUGAUGAAUCUUCAUGAUAAGAAGAUUCCCAAAAUUUAUAAGGCUUUGCUGGCUUUUGGUCUUGAUUUUGACUACUCCAGCAAGUCACUUGGAAUUUUAUAAAAUUGUCAUUCUACAACAGAAUGAAAGAAAUAGAUUAUAUAUUGUUUCAAUGUCUGAGGGUCUGUCCCUGCCAGGGUUCUCACAGGCUUUAUUCUCUCCCAAGGCUUCUGGGUGCAGGACCCGUGGCCAGGAGCCUUAAACCUCAACCCUCAAAGUUAAGGGGAAUUUCUAAAAGGGAAGGUAUGUGCUCCCGGUCUCACCCAGCCAGGGUGAGAGGGAGCACAGGGAGAGGGGCGCAGGGUCCUGCCCCCUGCCCCAGAACCCUGUGCCUAAAUCCUUUGGUGUCCCCUGGGGUGCUGCAAGUAAUCGGAGCUGCACGAGGUGGUGACAAGUCCCCAGCAUUCCGGGCAUUUGAUCCGAGGAAAUCACCAGCCAGCCAGGAAAUGUCAAGAUUACGUCACAUGCAUAAUCUUUUAAAGCCCUGAAAAGAAGCUUGUUAAAAUCUCUGUCUCUGCAGUGUGAUCCCAGUUCCUUUCAUUUUGCUUUGCUCUUUCACUUUAUGGGAACAGGCAGGCAAAUCCUCCUCCUACAUAUCACUUUACUUUUCCCUCCCUUUGACUUACAGCACUGUUGUUUGCCAUGGCCUUGCCACUCAGUGGGGCUGGAGGAGCAAGUCCUCACUUUGCUGGGCCCCAAAGGGAAGAUGUGAUGCCCAGGGCCUGUGGGGAUACAGCUACAGGCCAGCUUGUCUGCACUGGGAAAGAAGGGAGAGGACUGAGAGUGGAGCUGCCAUCCCUUCCCCUGUGUUUGCUCGUGUUCCGGGUGGGCGCCCUGGGCAGCCCAACAGCGCUGCAGGGAGGUGCCAAAAUUUCACAGAGCAAAACUGCACCUCGUUAUUCCACUGAUCCUGUAGAACUAUUAAGGAGCAUCCAGCAGAGUAUGUGACACACACAUGUUUAAUUUCUUUUACAGUUUCUGUUUUGAUAUAUGCUCAAUGUGUUUUUAUAAAACAAAGAUUUAUUGGAACCUGGAAUUUUAUGACUUUAAGGUUUGCUUGAGUCCAGAUUGUGAGUUUCUCCUUUUGGAAGAGAAGGUUUAAAAGAGCCCAUCUGCCUGUGGCACUUCUGAAACCCUAGGCCAAGGAUGACACCUUUUCCUGUAACUUCUACUAUAAUGUCAAACAAAAAUUUACCAUCAAAUAUUAUGCCUUCCAUAUGCAAUACCCUGCUGUAGAUUUAGAUCACAGCAAUCGUGUUGGGUUUCUCUCUUUCAAGUUUUUAUCUGUGCCAUAAGGAAGUCAGGACUCCGUGUAGGGUCCAAGGAGGAGCAGCAAGGCAGGAAAAACCCAAACCGUACAUAAUUAAUGACAAUGUGCCUUCACUUGUGCUCUUGAUUUUUCUUGUAAAAGCACAGCAAUGCCCUUGCUGCCUGCAAGGCUGAGGAAAGCAGUGUAUUUUUAAAACACAGUGCCAGUGUCAGACAGCUCCAAGUGCUCUGGUAGGAAACAACCAGCAUCCAAGGAAGCAGAGCCCGAGUCCAGCUCUCUGGUUACCACGACAUAAGUAAACAAACAAGUUUAUCACAAGUAAUGAGGGCAUUGUGCCAGUUUCAGUUAAAAUAAUGAAAUAAAUAAAAAAGAAAUCAACCCCAAAGCAACAAAUCAUUACGGCAUGAGGAAAGUCCUGAAUGAAAUUGAUUGUUCGUGCCAACACCAGAAAUAUAUCUUGUCAUAAACUCGGGCCUCCACAUCUGCUUCAGCACUAGUGGAUUCUUUAUAAACAGCCUCUUUAAUUUUAUCUAACAGCCUGUUAGCAGACAUGGAGUCCAAAAAUACAUCUCCUUUUCUUCCUCGCACUAUCCUGAGCUUGGCAGGGCACCAAACAUGAGGUUCAGCUUGUAAUUCAAAAAAACCCUUCUUUAAGCAUUGACUGAGCUUGAUUUAAUAAAAAUCCUGUCUAGCUUCCUCCGGGCAGCCCUAAUGGGAUGCAGAGCCCAGCGCUUCUCAGGGGCUGCUCCAGACCUGCUGUGUGUUGGCCACUGAGAUUUUUUUGUGGUGAAACAAUAUUGCUCUGCGGUGGAGUUGGGGAACCGGCUGGUGUUCUCCAGAAUGUCUCCCCCGAGGGGUGCACAGCUUCACUUUCAGCUAUGCCACCCUCUGAAAAUGGAAGUGAGCAGGCAGCACCAUAAAAACAGAGCAGGGGAUGUCCUGGUGCCCCUGGUAGCUGCGGGGAUGCUCCAGUGCUGCUGGUACC
rnacentral:lncRNA from 1 species